rnacentral:lncRNA from 1 species
AUGGUGCACGCCGAUUCAUACUGGUGCACGCCGAUUCUUACUGGUGCACGCCGAUUCUUACUGGUGCAUACUGCUUCUUUUUGUUUCCUAUUGAUUCUCACUGGUGUAUACUGGCUCUUACUGGUGAAUACUGCUUUAAAUGGUGCACACUGGUUCUUACUGGUGCACAGUGAUUCUUACUGGUGCGUACUGGUGCUUACUGCUUCUAAGUGCUGCAGACUGGAGCACACUGGUGUGCAGUGGUUCUUACUGGGACAGGGCGGUGCACAGCGGACGCCAGCGGCCGUAGUGGGUGGGCGGUGGCCGUACUGGUGCCGACUGGUCCGUUCUGGUGGCAGAGGUGGCCGCGGGGGGCCGGGGCCGGCUGCUGUUUCGGGGCAGUUGCCCCCUGAGGCUGCGCCCCCAGCGGCGGUUCCUGCUCAUGGGGGGGGAAGGGUCAGUGGCCGGGACCAGCCAGAGCCCCCAGUUCCUGCUGGGUCCCCACUCCUGGCUGGAGGAGGCCCCCUCCCGGCCCCACUGUGGCCCCGCCCCCAACUGCCGCCCCCUGCUGGAGUUCAUGGAGACCCUGCGCUCCCGCGGCUGCCCCUUCUGAGCGGGGCGGGGGGCGGCACCUGGAGCCCCUGGGAGAUACUGGGAGACACUGGAAGACACUGGGACCACACUGGAAGAGACGGGGAAUGUGCUGGGGGGCAACUGGGAGCAACUGGGACCAUGCUGGAAGCAACUGGGACUAUAUUGGGGCAACUGGGACUAUACUGGGGCAACUGGGAGCAACUUGGACCACACUGGAAGCAACUGGGACCAUGCUGGAAGCAACUGGGACUAUAUUGGGGCAACUGGGAGCAACUUGGACCACACUGGAAGCAACUGGGACUAUGUUGGGGCAACUGGGAGCAACUUGGACCACACUGGAAGCAACUGGGACCAUGCUGGAAGCAACUGGGACUAUAUUGGGGCAACUGGGAGCACACUAGGGCAACUGGGACCAUGCUGGAAGCAACUGGGACUAUGUUGGGGCAACUGGGAGCACACUGGGGCAACUGGGAGUUAAUAAAGCAACUGGGACCACACUGGAAGUAAUGGGACGAUGCUGGAGGAGACUGGGUCAUACUGGGACCACACUGGAAGGAGCUGGGACCUUGCUGGGGGAAACUGGGAGU